rnacentral:rRNA from 1 species
UGGCGGACGGGUGAGUAACGCGUGGGUAACCUGCCUCAUACAGGGGGAUAGCAGCUGGAAACGGCUGGUAAUACCGCAUAAGCGCACAGUACCACAUGGUACAGUGUGAAAAACUCCGGUGGUAUGAGAUGGACCCGCGUCUGAUUAGGUAGUUGGUGGGGUAACGGCCUACCAAGCCGACGAUCAGUAGCCGACCUGAGAGGGUGACCGGCCACAUUGGGACUGAGACACGGCCCAA